rnacentral:lncRNA from 1 species
CUCUCAGCCCCUCUCCUCCUAGUAAUGAGGUAACGUAACAAUGUGGUAAUGCAUUAAUUUAGUAAUGAGGUAAUGAAGUCGUGCAGUAAUGUAACGAUGCAUUAAUUUAGUAAUGAGGUAAUGAAGUCGUGCAGUAAUGUAGUAAUAAGACGAUGCAUUAAUUUAGUAAUGAGGUAAUGAAGUCGUGCAGUAAUGUAGUAAUAAGACGAUGCAUUAAUUUAGUAAUGAGGUAAUGAAGUCGUGCAGUAAUGUAGUAACAAGACGAUGCAUUAAUUUAGUAAUGAGGUAAUGAAGUCGUGCAGUAAUGUGUGGGUCAGAGGAUAAGCAGUGAUAAUCCUGUGUGAUUGUUGUAGUUCUACGGAGGACAGCUGUGCUGCGGUCAGUCGGACACUUCAAAGGCUUACGGCUGCAGAAACAUAACUACACAGAUACUGAGUGCAGUGUCCCAAAUGGCAGCCUAUUCCCUAUAUAGUGAACUACUUUUGACCAGGACCUUAUGGAGGGUGCCAUUUGGGACAAAGGAUGAGAUUCUCAAACAACCUCUCACCGCCGAUAUGACAGGGGAGCUGAGGUUCUGCUGGGUUCUGCUGUACCAGCUGAGGUUCUGCUGGGUUCUGCUGUACCAGCUGAGGUUCUGCUGGGUUCUGCUGUACCAGCUGAGGUUCUGCUGUGUUCUGCUGUACCAGCUGAGGUUCUGCUGUGUUCUGCUGUACCAGCUGAGGUUCUGCUGUACCAGCUGAGGUUCUGCUGUACCAGCUGAGGUUCUGCUGUACCAGCUGAGGUACUGCUCUACCAGCUGAGGUUCUGCUGGGUUCUGCUGUACCAGCUGAGGUACUGCUGGGUUCUGCUGUACCAGCUGAG